CUAGUACUCCCUCCGUUCGGAAUUACUUGUCACAGAAAUGGAUGUAUCUAGAUGUAUUUUAGUUCUAGAUAUAUCCAUAUCCGAGACAAGUAAUUCCGAACAGAGGGAGUAGAAC
rnacentral:pre_miRNA from 1 species